rnacentral:rRNA from 1 species
UACGGGGGGGGCAAGCGUUGUUCGGAAUUACUGGGCGUAAAGGGUUCGUAGGUGGCCAACUAAGUCAGACGUGAAAUCCCUCAGCUUAACUGGGGAACUGCGUCUGAUACUGGAUGGCUCGAGUGCAGGAGAGGAACGCGGAAUUCCAGGUGUAGCGGUGAAAUGCGUAGAUAUCUGGAGGAACACCGGUGGCGAAGGCGGCUCUCUGGACGGUGACUGACGCUGAGACGCGAAAGCGUGGGGAGCAAACAGG